rnacentral:rRNA from 1 species
AUUUGCCUUUUAAUUGGGGGCUGGGAUGAAAGGUUUUAUGGGGAAUAGCUGUCUUAGAAUGAAUAAAUUGAAUUUAAGUCCUGCAUAAAAACUUGCAGGUGCUCUUAAGGGACGAGAAGACCCUGUGGAUUUUUAUUUGUUAAAAAAUAAAUUUUAUAAUAUUUUAUUUUUUAUUCAAAUUUGGUUGGGAUGACAGUAAAAUUAACUUUAUUGAAAAGAUAUAGUAUAGAUCCUUUUUAAGGAAAAAAGAACAAAUUACCCCAGGGAUAACAGCGUAAUACUUUUGGACAGGACAAAUGGAUAAAAGUGUUUGCGACCUCG